GCACCGCAAAUACUAAAAUUGGAAUGCUAUACAGAGUAUUGUGGUCCUUGUGCAAGGGUAACAUGCAAAUUCGAGAAGCGUUCCAUGUUUUU
ensembl:snRNA U6 U6 spliceosomal RNA